AGAUUAGAGGCCUCUGCUCAUCAGAUCUUAUCUGGAAACGACUGAGACUCGAUGUACUUUUAAAGAAUCCACUAAAUAGUAGACCAUCUCGGUGUGCUUUUUUCAAACUUGGUGAUGCUUAUGGCCAGUUAUACAGCCUGGACAAUGACAUUGUCUGUGAUAUGAAGCCACUGUUGCCAGGAUGAAGAGCAGUGUCCCCAGUGAAAAUAGGAGCAUGCAGUGGGAUGUAGCUGGAGAGGCAGGAGACCAUCUCAGUGUGCUUUUUUCAAACUUGGUGAUGCUUAUGGCCAGUUAUACAGCCUGGACAAUGACAUUGUCUGUGAUAUGAAGCCACUGUUGCCAGGAUGAAGAGCAGUGUCCCCAGUGAAAAUAGGAGCAUGCAGUGGGAUGUAGCUGGAGAGGCAGGAGAUGCCUUUUUGUCAUUAUAAAACGAUCAAGAAUGAUGACACUUUAACAGUAAAAUAGAAGACAGAAAGGACAAAAAGGAGUCCACAGGAAAAUGUUUCUGGUGGCAGCAUGUGGAGUGUGUGUUUUUGCAUGCCAACACAUAUUCUGGUGUCGGUUCCCCAUCUUUAAAACCUAAAUCUGCAGUUAAGCUAUUACAGUCUGCACCUAAUCCAACUUUACUGGAAACACAGUGAUGAGAGAGUGGAAACAAUUUAACAGGAUUCACAAAGAAGAGAAUGAUGCUAUACUAAACCAGA